UCGAACGUCCCUGGGUGUCCGUUGUCGCGAGCGAAAGAUCCACCGCGUUGCCAAGCCGCAACAAAAAAGCCCCGACACGCGGGGCUU
rnacentral:antisense_RNA from 20 species